rnacentral:lncRNA from 1 species
UGCAAACCCAAGUAGAAAAUAAUCAUUCUUAAUCUGUGGUUUUACUGAAGCAGUGUCUCACUGCUGCAGUUCUGCUGCAGCUGUGGAGCAGGCAGCGGCUUCCUCAGCUGAUUUGCAUUGAGUCUUUCUGAUGUUAUCUUCCUUUGGUGACACAUGGCCCAGAGCCCUGGGGAAGAGGUGAAUGAGGCUGUCCCAUUUCUCUCCUGCCACCACCAUAGAAAGAAGAUCAGCUGUCCAUUAUUGCAUGCCAGCUCACCUGUUCUAUGGCCCAUGCACGGGAUUGAGUUGAUGUUACUGAAGGGAUACCAGUAGAUAAGACCAUCACUAAAAUGAUCUGCAGAAUACAUGAUGCAAAGUGAGUCAAAAACUGUACGGAGUCCUUGCACAGUCUGCCCUACAGCAUUUAUUUCCUUCCUCUAAAGGCGUUAAAUCCUGUAAGUAUUUCUAUACAUACAGCUAACUUUUACAUGGCCUUUCAAAUGCAGCUCAGUUUUUUACCACCUUUUUGUGAGCUUAUGGCUUCUAACUUAGGAGUGGUUCAGGUGUGGUAAAAGCCCAAGUGGUAUGUGUAUACAGAGAGCAAUACCCAUACGAGAUGCUUAAUGCUAGGUAAUACAGGCAUAACCUGAAUUGAAAGCUUUUAAGGUAAUUUGCACACGUCCCCUUCUUUAUGUAUAUGCAUAGUCCAUUGGGUGUGAUUUGCACGACAGUCAUUUUACACCUUUGGCAAUGUGAAGAAGCGCUAAUAUAGGCUUUAAUGUCAUAGACACGGUAUUAUAAAGUUGCUAUAAAUGUAAAUAAUUCUUUCUCUUUCCAAGCUCACUGGUUUAGUGGUAUAUAGCAGAGAGAGAAGCAAAAAUAUAUAGUGAGUAAAAGUAUUUGUACACCUAACAAUUUGCAGAAGAGGACCUUGAACAAGCAUGUUUCCCUUUUUUAGGCAAAACUCAUUCCACAACUGAAAAUGCAAGUGAAACAAGUUAAGCCCUUUUAUUCUUUGUAAAAAUAUUUUUGGCAGCAGUUUGUCAUUUCAUAGAUUUGCUCCAAGUCAAAACUGUUUGAGAAUAAG